rnacentral:rRNA from 1 species
GGUAAGGCCCCUUUCGGGGGUACACGAGCGGCGAACGGGUGAGUAACACGUGAGCAAUCUGCCCCUGUCUCUGGGAUAACCACUGGAAACGGUGGCUAAUACCGGAUAUGACCUCCCUUCGCAUGUUGGGUGGUGGAAAAGUCCGCUGGACAGGGAUGAGCUCGCGGCCUAUCAGCUUGUUGGUGGGGUAAUGGCCUACCAAGGCGACGACGGGUAGCCGGCCUGAGAGGGUGACCGGCCACACUGGGACUGAGACACGGCCCAGACUCCUACGGGAGGCAGCAGUGGGGAAUAUUGGACAAUGGGCGAAAGCCUGAUCCAGCAACGCCGCGUGAGGGAUGACGGCCUUCGGGUUGUAAACCUCUUUCAGCAGGGACGAAGCGAAAGUGACGGUACCUGCAGAAGAAGGACCGGCCAACUACGUGCCAGCAGCCGCGGUAAUACGUAGGGUCCGAGCGUUGUCCGGAAUUAUUGGGCGUAAAGGGCUCGUAGGCGGUUUGUCACGUCGGGAGUGAAAACUCAGGGCUUAACCCUGAGCGUGCUUCCGAUACGGGCUGACUAGAGGGAUGCAGGGGAGAACGGAAUUCCUGGUGUAGCGGUGGAAUGCGCAGAUAUCAGGAGGAACACCGGUGGCGAAGGCGGUUCUCUGGGCAUUUCCUGACGCUGAGGAGCGAAAGCAUGGGGAGCGAACAGGAUUAGAUACCCUGGUAGUCCAUGCCGUAAACGUUGGGCGCUAGGUGUGGGGACCUUCCACGGUUUCCGUGCCGCAGCUAACGCAUUAAGCGCCCCGCCUGGGGAGUAC